GAUGAACGCUGGCGGCGUGCCUAAUACAUGCAAGUCGAACGCAUUGUGGUUGAAAUGAUAUGAAGAACUUGUUCAGAUUUGAUUUUCAACAUUGCAAUGAGUGGCGAACGGGUGAGUAACACGUGGGAAACCUACCUCUUAGCAGGGGAUAACAUUUGGAAACAAAUGCUAAUACCGUAUAAUAAUUAAAACCGCAUGGUUUUAGUUUAAAAGAUGGUCUUGCUAUCACUAAGAGAUGGUCCCGCGGUGUAUUAGUUAGUUGGUGAGGUAAUGGCUCACCAAGACAAUGAUACAUAGCCGAGUUGAGAGACUGACCGGCACAAUGGGACUGAGACACGGCCCAUACUCCUACGGGAGGCAGCAGUAGGGAAUCUUCCACAAUGGACGAAAGUCUGAUGGAGCAA
rnacentral:rRNA from 1 species